AUUGAACGCUGGCGGCAGGCUUAACACAUGCAAGUCGAGCGGGGGAGGUUGCUUCGGUAACUGGCCUAGCGGCGGACGGGUGAGUAAUGCUUAGGAAUCUGCCUAUUAGUGGGGGACAACAUUCCGAAAGGAAUGCUAAUACCGCAUACGUCCUACGGGGGAAAGCAGGGGAUCUUCGGACCUUGCGCUAAUAGAUGAGCCUAAGUCGGAUUAGCUAGUUGGUGGGGUAAAGGCCUACCAAGGCGACGAUCUGUAGCGGGUCUGAGAGGAUGAUCCGCCACACUGGGACUGAGACACGGCCCAGACUCCUACGGGAGGCAGCAGUGGGGAAUAUUGGACAAUGGGGGGAACCCUGAUCCAGCCAUGCCGCGUGUGUGAAGAAGGCCUUUUGGUUGUAAAGCACUUUAAGCGAGGAGGAGGCUCCUUUAGUUAAUACCUAAAGAGAGUGGACGUUACUCGCAGAAUAAGCACCGGCUAACUCUGUGCCAGCCGCCGCAGUAACAC
rnacentral:rRNA from 1 species